rnacentral:rRNA from 1 species
AUUGAACGCUGGCGGUAUGCUUAACACAUGCAAGUCGAACGGUAACAUGGGAGCUUGCUCCUGAUGACGAGUGGCGGACGGGUGCGUAACGCGUGGGAAUCUACCUUGUAGUGGGGGAUAGCCCGGAGAAAUCCGGAUUAAUACCGCAUAAUCUCUACGGAGGAAAAGGGGCCUCUCCUUGGAAGCUCUUGCUAUUAGAUGAGCCCGCGUUAGAUUAGCUAGUUGGUGGGGUAAUGGCUCACCAAGG